ensembl:snRNA U6 U6 spliceosomal RNA
GUGCUCACUUCGGCAGUACAUAUACUAAAAGUGGAAUGAUACAGAGAAGAUUCGCGUGGCCCCUGCACAAGGAUGAUACACAAAUUCGUGAAGUGCUCCACAUUUUU